ACCAUGGCAGGCGUGCAGGCACGGUUUACACAAACACAUCCUGUUUCAAUGGCUCAAACUGUUGGUCCUCCCAUGGCAAUGUUCCCUGCUGGUGGUCAUGGAGUUAGUCAGCAACUUUUUUAUGAUCUGAGAAAGAAGAGAAGAAGAAUCCUAAGGAAGA